GUUGCAUUAAGUAUUUUAAUAUUAUAUCGGUGUUUUGAAACGUUGAAUUAAGUGAAUUAAUAUUUAAUUUCGGUGAAAUGAAUAAUUGUAGGUAUGUGUUCUUAAUUAUGAGUUGUGAUUUUAUUUGGUUUGUUUUGAAUCUAGUGAAUUAGAUGUGACGUUUGACGUGCUGAAGCUGAAUUGUGGACUUAAGUUUGAUGUUUUGGCUGCGGACAUUACCAUAUUAGCGAUGAAUUUAGAUUAAGAAUUUGAAAUAAGCCAUCUUGUUUUAAGUCAAAUUGAAAUAUUUUGAAUCAAAUUGUUUUAAUUUUGUUAAAUUAUAUUGUUUAUUUGUUGCAGCCUUAUUUAUAGUUUAUAAUUUUAAGAUCAAGUUACUGAUAUUAUAGUUUUGAAUAAAUUAAAAUUUUCAGAAUUGAAUUGGUGUUUUAUUUGAUGUGGUUUGUUUACGAUCUCUUUUUUUGUUUUUGUUUUUAAUUUUAUGUUUUGAUGUGAUGAUUUUAUAUGAUUCUGACGGUUUUAAAUAUGAUUUAUAUUAGACUCGUUUGUUCCGUGGUUUUGUUUGAAGGUAAAAGGCAAAUUUUAGUAAUCGGUCGUUUAAACUGCCCAGACUUAGUGCGGAGCGUGACAACGCGUACCAAACCGUCUGACCCGCUGUGGGUUUGUUCUAUUCGCGCCAUAUUCCAAUGUGUUGGUGGAAGUCGUUCAUCCUUCAAGAGAACCAAAUCUCCUAUCUUCGGCUUUUCUUGUAUUUUUGUCCAUUUUGGGCGUUGUUGAAGCCGAGAUAAGUAUUCAGAAUUCCAUCGUCUCCAAAAUACUUCAGAUAAUGCCUGAACUCGUUUCCAGCGAUCUUUAUGUGUAAUGUUUGUUUCUGUUUCACCUUGUGGUACUGCAUGCAAAGAUUCUCCGACUAAGAAAUGUGCUGGAGUUAGUGCGUUCAAAUCAUCGAUGCUAUCGGUUAGUGGGCAUAGAGGUCUCGAAUUCAGACAAGCUUCUACUUGUGCUAGAAGCGUCGCGAGCUCCUCGAAGGUAAGCCUCUCAAUUCCAAUGACUCGUUUGAGAUGGUACUUGACAGACUUCACACCCGCUUCCCAUAGGCCACCGAAAUGGGGAGAAGCUGGGGGAAUGAAAUGCCAAUCUGUACCGCGAUUUGCCAAUAGUUCUGCUACCUGCUUCCAGUCGUGUUGUGCUUCUUUCAUCAUUUUUGCCAGUUCAUUAUUGGCACCGAUGAAAUUAGUUCCGCAGUCGCUAUAGAUCUGCUUACAAAUUCCUCUUCUGGCAGUGAACCGUUUGAAUGCUGCUAAAAAUGCUUGGGUGGUUAAGUCUGAUACUGCUUCGAGAUGAAUGGCUUUGGUUGCCAAACAGAUAAAUACUGCGAAAUAGCCUUUUAGUAUUUUUGCUCCACGGGCUUUCCAGGCUUUUAUCUCGAUUGGUCCCGCAUAGUCAACACCGGUGUGACUAAAUGGUCGCGAUAUGCGUACUCGAGCAGCAGGUAAGUUUCCCAUCAGUUGUUGCAUUUCAGAUGCCUUUUGCCGGUAGCAAGAAGGGCAUUUAUGCAACUGGUACUUGACGCUUCGCCGAAUCUGUCCUAUCCAAUAUCGUUGUCGGAUGUAAUUAAUCAUUUGCUGGAUUCCGCCGUGUAGAGUUUGCUUGUGAGCAUCUCUUACAACCAGACUCGUAAAAUGGUGGUUGCUUUGCAACAGUAUCGGAUGUUGGGCAUCGUAGGAAAGGAGGGAGUUUGCUAAACGUCCCCCGACUCGUAAGAUUCCGUCAGAAUCAAGAAAUGCGUUUAAUGAAAGUAAAUUCUUUGGAAUUUUGGCAUUUCCAAGAAUUUGUUGAAUCUCAUCUCCAAACAUCUCCUUCUGUGCUGCCUUGACCACUAUUUGAUGUGCUGCAUCUAAUUCUUUAGGAUUGAUUGGACCAGUGAUAGGACCAAGCUUAGGUCGACAUUUUAUUGUGAAACGACGACAGGUGGCGACGACUCUAAGUAAUUUGAGCAACCUGGAAGAGUCGUGAAUAGCCUGCAAGAUUUUAUCGCCAUGAGUGAUAUUGAUACUUAAAACAUUCACUUUACUUUUAUCCUUCUUUUCUUCUUCAGUUUCGUUGUCGAUGGGUUGAUGCGGAGCAUCGAAUUUCCAUUGUCGGGUUAAAAAUUCAGGUCCAUUCCACCACAUAUCCAAUGACUCCAGUUCAGCCGGAAAUACACCUCGAGACGCUAGAUCGGCUGGGUUAUGCAAUGUUGCAACAUGACCCCAGCUGUCGAUCUGUAUAAGCCGCUGAAUUUCGGAUACACGAUUGGAUACGAAUGUGGUCCAUUUUGCUGGUGACGCUUGUAUCCAUGCCAACGCUAUCAUCGAAUCAGUCCACGCGUAGAUAUCGACAUCGGGGAUGGCCAAGAUAUCCUUGGUGUAACUAAGUAGCUGCGACAGAAGAACAGCUCCACAGAGUUCCAGGCGAGGCAGCGUGAUGGUUCGCUGACUUGGUGCUACUUUUGUUUUUGAGAGAAGCAGGCUGGUAAGGAUUCGAUCGUCCGUGUCUAAGACCCGAAUGUAGACUACUGCACCGAAAGCUUUCAUGGAGGCAUCACAGAAUCCGUGAAGUUGGACAGCCUUAUUAGAUGGGCUUUUCGCGAUCCAUCUCGGAAUUCGCAGUCGUUCGAUGAGAGGAAGUUCGCGUUGAAAAGCUUCCCAUUCCGUCUUUAAGGGAGUAGGAAUUGGAUCGUCCCAAUCACAACCAUGCUCCCAGAGGCGUUGCAUCAUUAGUUUCGCUGUGAUGAUGCAGGGUGAUAUCCACCCGAGUGGGUCGAACAGCUUAGCGAUGGUGGACAACAUUGACCGCUUUGUGAUGUCUUCUGGUGAAACUUGCAGAUUUUGAAACGAAAAGUAGUCGUCAAGUGGAAACCACUUGAUGCCGAGUGUCUUGACAUGAUUUGAGGUGUUAAACGGGAGUUCAAAAUCGAGUUCUCGAUCCUCAGCAGCGAUGUCUUCCAGGAGAGCCUUGGAGUUACUCGUCCAUUUCCUCAGGUUGAAUCCCGCAGACGCUAAGAGCUGCUUGGCUUCAUGUUGUUUCCUCUUGGCUUCUUCGAUGGAAUCUGCUCCACUGAUCAGAUCAUCAACGUACAUGUCCUCACGGACAACCUUCGCCCCUUCGGGAAAAUUCUGACUUUCAUCGUCGGCUAGUUUCUUCAAAACCUUAAUCGCAAGAUAUGGUGCGCUCGCUGUACCAAACGUGACAGUGUUCAUUUUGAAGACUUUAAUCGGCGAAGAUUUCUGUUCCCUCCACAAAAUUAGCUGAAAGUAUCGGUCUGGGAAACUAACCAUAAUUUGACGGUACAUCUUUUCAAUGUCUGCCGUAAAAGUAACUCGAUGAGUACGCCAUCUGAGAACAAGAUCAAUGAUAUUGGUCUGCAAUUUUGGACCUACAAGAAGAUGCUCGUUUAGGGAUUUCCCAUCCGAAGCUUUAGAAGCUGCGUCAAACACCACUCUCAGCUUUGUUGUGGAACUCGCUUCCUUAAAAACUGCAUGGUGCGGAAGAAAAUAAUGGUAAGGGGUCGCCAAAACCGUGUCAUCUUCAUCUAUUUCUUCCAUGUGUUUGAGCUUGAUGUACUCAUUUAUGCACUUUGAAUAGUCCUCACAAAGUUUAGGAUUUGCAGCAAGUCUUUUCUCGAGAUGGAGAAAUCGUCGAGUAGCUCCUUGACGGCUGGAUCCCAUCGCUGGAAGGCCUUCUUUGAACGGUAAGCUGACUUGGUAACGCCCGUCUGGUAAACGUGUCGUAUUCCUCUCAAAAUGUUCUUCACAAGCAAUGUUGUCUAGGGUUUCAUGUGUCUGGAACGGCGUUUCUUCCAUCUCCCAAAACUUCUGUAGCUGGAUUCCGAGGUCAGUAACCUGCACGAAACUUCGAAUUUGCCGGGGAAGUUCCUCUGGAACUUUCCCUAACACGAUCCACCCUAAAUGCGUAUUUUGCGCUAUCGGUCCAUUGUUAUCCGGAGACCUUCUUAUUUCCGGUAGCAGUAUUUGGGCGCAAACAUCACUUCCAAACAAUAAAUCGAUAGGAGCGGGUUCGUAGAGAUGGGGAUCUGCUAACGUAAGACCCUUGAGGUGAUUCCAACUGUUGGGUACCACUCGUUGGGCCGGGAGAUGCCCAGUCAGCGACUUAAAAACCAAUGCCUGUGUGGCAGUUUCAAACGUCGAAUGGCGAGAAGCAAAAUGCACUUCGACUGUAUGCUGUGUUGUGCCGCUGCUGACCAACCCCAACCCCGAUACCUCAACAAUGGCACGUCGCCUUUCCAACUUCAGCAGACGAGCAGCAGCUUCUGUUAUGAAAGACGUUUCUGACCCUGUAUCAACCAGGGCACGUAGUAAACGAAUUCUUCCAUCCGUGGCUCGCGCUUUGACAACUGCUGUAGCUAAGAGCACCUGGUGUGUUUGGGCACGAUCACCGUGCGACGCGUGGUAGUUUUGAGUUUGUGGACGAACAGCUGGUUGGAACUCAGGCGCAUUCGGGUUCACUGAGGCCUGAAAUGUGUUAGAACUAGAACCGGCAACUCUCGGUUGAGACGGCAUACCUUGGCUUGAUGUUCCGACUUGGGUCUGAUGUUCAGAACCUGGUUGUUGAGGUUGAAAAGAGUUAUUAUGGUGCUGCAAAUGCAGGAGUGAGUGAUGUUUCUGUUGACAGAAAUAGCACCGACUCAAACUCUGGCAUUCCUGGAGAGAAUGCCCAUAUGUCAGACAAUUUUCACAAACAUGGAUUCCCCGGACUACUUCUCGGCGUUUGACACUGUCCAUUGCCAAAAAUUGCUGGCAUUUUCUAAGGGAGUGCUUGUUGUGGUUGCACAAUUUGCAAAGAACUUGGCUAGUUUGAAAGUGCUUUGGAAUUUUCUGAGGUUGAUGCUUUACAACAUGCUUUGUAUGUAAAACCUUUGAAGUCGAUGGUUGAAAGCGUGGCCUUGAAUUAACAGAUGACUCUUCUUUGCGCCUGGUGGGCGUAGCUAGCUCUUGUUGGCCCAUAACUUCAAGCGUACGGAAUCGUGUCUCUAAAAAUUCGGAAAACGCAUCAAAUUUCGGAAGCUUUUGUACAAGGAACCAUAUCAAGACCGUAUCCCACGAAGAAAUCGGAACCUCCAAAUUUUCAAGAGCGAGAAGACAUUCUCUAGUUGUAUACAAGAGCUCCUUGAGACCAGAUGCCGUUUCUCGCGUCAAUGAGGGUUGACCAAAAAGCGAUUGCAUUUGGAUGUGCACCAGAAUGCGUUUAUGAUUGUAGCGCUCUUCCAAAAGUUCCCAUGCCUUUUCAUAACUUGCAGACUCAACAGCAAUGUUUUGCAUAAAACGAUGUGCAUCACCUAUUAAACACGUUUGUAGGAAAUGCAAUUUGUCGAUGUCCUCCAGGGUCGCGUUUUUAUGGACGAGAGCUUGAAAUCUGUCGUGAAAAGCACGCCAGUUUGUGUAAGAUCCGUCGAAUUUGGGCAGAUCAAUCCUCGGGAGACGAAUCGCCGAAUGUGAGGACGAUGCAGAAGAAUGAGGGGGCGGAGCACCCAUUAGGACAUCACCUGCUAUAAGUGUUUUCGAUUUUUCCAUCGCCUCUACCAAUUCUGCCCUAUAUUCGAGCAUACCACCACCAAUGAUUGCCUCGUGAUAGGCUUUCGACGUAGCUAGAUCUUCUUCUAGCUUUGAAAGACGUCCCGAUGCAUAUGCUGGUGUUCUCCGCUCCUUCGGAGCCUUUUUGAAAUUAGUAAGGUCUUUGAUGACUUUUGUAAGUAACCCCUUUUGCAAUUCCCCAUACUUAUAUGAUUUUUCCAUUUCUUUAAAUUAUUUUUAAAUUACAGAGUAAUAUAAAAAAAAAAAACGAAAUCGGGACAGGUUUUACUAACAAGAAAAGCAACGACUUACUGCUUGUAUGCUGCGGCUACGGCUGCUGACUUUGUCGGUGAAUUGCUGCUGACGUCGUCGUCGUCGUUAAAGAUGCUGCUGGCGUCGUCGUUGAUGUUGCUGCAGGGGCUCCGAGUCAAUGAUGGAUCGUUUAAAUGAUAUAUUUUGUAUACUUUUCCUUUUUUUUUAUUUUAACUAGAUUUCUUGUUUUUUAAACUGCACACACGGCACUAUAUAUUAAGUUUUUUUUUGUGUAAAUGUAAUUUACUUAAUGUUUUAACUUUAAAUUUGCUUGCACUGAUUGUUAUUUAAAUUAAGAAAAACAAAACCUCAAAUACUGUUUGUAUGUUAAAUAAAAACUCGAAGGACCAAAUGUUCUCGACUAGAAACUUUAGCAAAGUUUUAGAAAUUAUGCCGGUUAAAAAUGUUCCAAAGAAAAGACGUUAUCUUGUUCAAACUUGA